CACAAGCGGUGGUAUGAUGUGGUUUAAUUCGAUGCAACGCGAAAACCUUACCCACCUUUGACAUGGCAGGAAUCCUGAAGAGAUUUGGGAGUGCUCGAAAGAGAACCUGCACACAGGUGCUGCAUGGCUGUCGUCAGCUCGUGUCGUGAGAUGUUGGGUUAAGUCCCGCAACGAGCGCAACCCUUGCCAUUAGUUGCUACGAAAGGGCACUCUAAUGGGACUGCCGGUGACAAACCGGAGGAAGGUGGGGAUGACGUCAAGUCCUCAUGGCCCUUAUGGGUAGGGCUUCACACGUCAUACAAUGGUCGGUACAGAGGGUUGCCAACCCGCGAGGGGGAGCUAAUCCCACAAAGCCGAUCGUAGUCCGGACCGCAGUCUGCAACUCGACUGCGCGAAGUCGGAAUCGCUAGUAAUCGUGGAUCAGCAUGUCACGGUGAAUACGUUCCCGGGUCUU
rnacentral:rRNA from 1 species